rnacentral:rRNA from 1 species
AGAGUUUGAUCCUGGCUCAGAAUGAACGCUGGCGGCGUGCAUAACACAUGCAAGUCGAACGAGAAAUUCCCCGCUUGCGGGGGAAAGUAAAGUGGCGCACGGGUGAGCAACGCGUGGGUAAUCUGCCCUUGAAUUUGGAAUAACUUCGCGAAAGCGUUGCUAAUACCGAAUAUUGUCCCUUUUGCUGUGGCUUUGGGGAUGAAAGGUGACCUCUUCAUGAAAGUUGCCGUUCAAGGAGGAGCCCGCGUACCAUUAGCUAGUUGGUAGGGUAAUGGCCUACCAAGGCGACGAUGGUUAGCUGGCCUGAGAGGGUGGCCAGCCACACUGGAACUGAGACACGGUCCAGACUCCUACGGGAGGCAGCAGUGGGGAAUCUUGCGCAAUGGGGGAAACCCUGACGCAGCAACGCCGCGUGAGUGACGAAGGCCUUCGGGUCGUAAAGCUCUGUCAGAUGGAAAGAAUUAGUUCGCUGAAAAUAUUGGCGAGUGAUGACGGUACCAUCAGAGGAAGCACCGGCUAACUCCGUGCCAGCAGCCGCGGUAAUACGGAGGGUGCAAGCGUUGUUCGGAAUUAUUGGGCGUAAAGCGCGUGUAGGCGGGAAGGCAGGUCAGGUGUGAAAUCCCUUGGCUUAACCAAGGAACUGCAUCUGAAACCAUUUUCCUCGAGUACGAUAGGGGAGGGCGGAAUUCCCAGUGUAGAGGUGAAAUUCAUAGAUAUUGGGAGGAACACCAGUGGCGAAGGCGACCCUCUGGAUCGAUACUGACGCU